GACGAACGCUGGCGGCGUGCUUAACACAUGCAAGUCGAACGGUGAAGCGCCUUCCUUUUUGGUGGGUGUGGAUGAGUGGCGAACGGGUGAGUAACACGUGAGUAACCUGCCCCCUUCUUCUGGAUAACCGCAUGAAAGUGUGGCUAAUACGGGAUAUUCUGGGUCUGUCGCAUGAUGGGUCUGGGAAAGAUAUUGUUUCGGUGGGGGAUGGGCUCGCGGCCUAUCAGCUUGUUGGUGGGGUGAUGGCCUACCAAGGCGGUGACGGGUAGCCGGCCUGAGAGGGUGGACGGUCACACUGGGACUGAGCCACGGCCCAGACUCCUACGGGAGGCAGCAGUGGGGAAUAUUGCACAAUGGGCGCAAGCCUGAUGCAGCGACGCCGCGUGAGGGAUGGAGGCCUGCGGGUUGUGAACCUCUUUCGCCAGUGAAGCAGGCCUGCCUCGUUUGUGGGUGGGUUGACGGUAGCUGGAUAAGAAGCGCCGGCUAACUACGUG
rnacentral:rRNA from 1 species